GAUGAAGAACGUAGCGAAAUGCGAUACUUGGUGUGAAUUGCAGAAUCCCGUGAACCAUCGAGUCUUUGAACGCAAGUUGCGCCCGAAGCCACUAGGCCGAGGGCACGCCUGCCUGGGCGUCACACGCCGUUGCCCCCCCAUCUACUCCUUCGGGAUGGCGGGGGGGCGGAUGAUGGCCUCCUGUGCGCCUAGCCGCGCGGUUGGCAUAAAUACCAAGUCCUCGGCGACGCACGCCACGACAAUCGGUGGUUGCGAAACCUCGGUUGCCCGUCGUGUGCGUUCGUCGCGCAUCGAGGGCUCGAAAAAAUGCUCGGCUCCGGCUGGGCUUUCAACGCGACCCCAGGUCAGGCGGGGUUACCCGCUGAAUUUAAGCAUAUCAAUAAGCGGAGGA
rnacentral:misc_RNA from 1 species